GCGGGCUUGGUAUAGGGGUUGUGCCUUAGCCUUCCAAGCUAAAGAGACGGGUUCGAAUCCCGUAGCCCGCUCCA
rnacentral:tRNA from 1 species